CCUACGGGAGGCAGCAGUGAGGAAUAUUGGGCAAUGGACGAGAGUCUGAACGAGCAACGUAGCGUGAAGGAUGACUGCCCUAUGGGUUGUAAACUUCUUUUAUAUGGGAAUAAAAUGUUCCACGUGUGGGAUUUUGUAUGUACCAUAUGAAUAAGGAUCGGCUAACUCCGUGCCAGCAGCCGCGGUAAUACGGAGGAUCCGAGCGUUAUCCGGAUUUAUUGGGUUUAAAGGGUGCGUAGGUGGAUUGUUAAGUCAGUUGUGAAAGUUUGCGGCGCAACCGUAAAAUUGCAGUUGAAACUGGCAGUCUUGAGUACAGUAGAGGUGGGCGGAAUUCGUGGUGUAGCGGUGAAAUGCGUAGAUAUCACGAAGAACUCCGAUUGCGAAGGCAGUUCACUGGACUGCAACUGACACUGAGGCACGAAAGUGUGGGGAUCAAACAGGAUUAGAUACCCUGGUAGUC
rnacentral:rRNA from 1 species